ensembl:lncRNA
GUCGUGAGCCUGUCCCUCUUGCAAGUGCUUGUUCUUUCUAACUCUUUUCCUGAAGACACUUCGAGGUCUAAAGUGGUGGUGCUGAACCUUUGCUCAUCCUCCAUGAAGGGCUGGUACCACAGCCAUCAAGUACGGAACCAAGAGUUCGAGCACAGGGCUUUUGGCCAGUGCUAAUAUUCUUGAGGCACAUACUCAAUGGUAACUGAACCUUAUCACAGAGUGCGCUAACAGUGCUAUUUUCUAUUCCGGGUGCGUGUUCCUAGAUCCGUGUUAUUAGGAAAGCGAUUACUAUACUAACAGUGACUAGGAAAUGAUUCAGCGUAUUGUGGAUUCAGAAAUGCAGCAUGAUUUCGUUCAUCUCUGGCUGUAUCCAGGGCGUAUGAAACGAUUUCCUGGCGCAUAGGAGAAUAUGAUGUGCAGUAAGAAGCAGAAACCAACAUGGCUGAAAGAACAAAGGCAGAGCCAGUCAUGGUGAGGGGGCAGGCAGCACGAAUGGGACUUAGAAAUGGAGCCAAGGCACCAAGAUAACAGUCACUCUCUGGCCUGCUUUAUCAACAUGAAGAGACACUGAUACACAUCCUUCAGGGAACACAGAGUCUGCCACUCAGAGGGAACCAGCCUCACUCACUGAUUAUCUUCCCAAGGUGUCAGAAUUACACGGGAGUGGGGAGAACAAUCAGUUAAGCAGGAAGACAUAAGACAGUGCUCAAAUAGACGUAAAAACACAUGGGGAAAAGGUGCUUACUUCGAAUGGAUAUUUCUCCACACAGGGGAAGAAAAUCAAAGUUUUGCUAUGGGUACAAAUGGGUAAAAUGCUAUGAAAUAUUUUAGUAAAAUAUUUAGUGAAAUAUUUUAGUAAAAUAGAAAAUCAAGAUCUGAAAAAAAGAGCCACUCCGAGAAAACCAGUUUUACGUUUUAAGCCAUAUCCACCCUGACUUGUGUGUGUGUGUGUAACACGUAUUUGUUUUCCUAGGUUUGAAAAUGCAACCAUGCUUAUAUGCUGUUUCGGGCCAAGAGUGGAUAUAAAUUUUGUGACUCUAAAGCUUUAAACACGGGAAGGCUUUAGGGAAAUAUUUGAAGGUUAUGAAUGCAAACACACUAGGGAGAAGGGCUUUGCAAGCAGGGAGUUCUGGAAUUUAAGCUCUAUUAUCGUGAUGAAUAAAGUACGGUACUCAGUAGACUCUU